AGCGAACGCUGGCGGCAGGCCUAACACAUGCAAGUCGAGCGGCCGUAGCAAUACGGCAGCGGCAGACGGGAGAGUAACGCGUGGGAACGUACCUUUCAGUUCGGAACAACCAAGGGAAACUUUGGCUAAUACCGGAUACGCCCGUAAGGGGAGAGAUUUAUCGCUGAAAGAUCGGCCCGCGUCUGAUUAGCUAGUUGGUGGGGUAACGGCCCACCAAGGCGACGAUCAGUAGCUGGUCUGAGAGGAUGAUCAGCCUCACUGGGACUGAGACACGGCCCAGACUCCUACGGGAGGCAGCAGUGGGGAAUAUUGGACAAUGGGCGCAAGCCUGUUCCAGCCAUGCCGCGUGGAUGAUGAAGGCCCUAGGGUUGUAAAGUCCUUUCGACGGGGAAGAUAAUGACGGUACCCGUAGAAGAAGCCCCGGCUAACUUCGUGCCAGCAGCCGCGGUAA
rnacentral:rRNA from 1 species